rnacentral:rRNA from 1 species
GACGAACGCUGGCGGCGUGCUUAACACAUGCAAGUCGAACGGUGACGCGCCUUCCUUUUUGGUGGGUGUGGAUGAGUGGCGAACGGGUGAGUAACACGUUAGUAACCUGCCCCCUUCUUCUGGAUAACCGCAUGAAAGUUUGGCUAAUACGGGAUAUUCUGGGUCUGUCGCAUGAUGGGUCUGGGAAAGAUAUUGUUUCGGUGGGGGAUGGGCUCGCGGCCUAUCAGCUUGUUGGUGUGGUGAUGGCCUACCAAGGCGGUGACGGGUAGCCGGCCUGAGAGGGUGGACGAUAACACUGGGACUGAGAGACGGCGCAGACUCCUACGAGAGGCAGCAGUGAGGAAUAUUGCACGAUGGGCGCAAGCCUGAUGCAGCGACGCCGCGUGGGAGAUGGAGGCCUUCGGGUUGUGAACCUCUUUCGCCAGUGAAGCAGGCCUGCCUCGUUUGUGGGUGGGUUGACGGUAGCUAGAUAAGAAGCGCCGGCUAACUACGUG